UUUUUUUCGACGAGAGAUAUCAUAUAUUGCAAAAAUAAGCGACAGCAUUGAAUCAUGCGCGCGGUCGUAUAGGAUCAACGACCUAAGAAAGUGAUACAAGUUAGGUUAGGUUAGGUUAGGCUGAGGAUAUGCGCGUGGUAUGCGGAAGCAGGAUGGGUGUGACGCGACAAGGGUGUGCAGGUCGCGAGGGUGGCGUAAGUUACGUCACUAGAUGUUUGAUGUUGCAGGAGCGAAUCUCACUGCCUUUGUACUUGGACUCAUUACGAUUCUUUGCUAUUUUUGAGAAAAUCAAUUCCAAGGAUAUUAAUCUGAUUAUUGGAGAUGCCGUUCUGUAAAAGACAGAUGAAUUAAUGUCAAUUAGAAGGAACCCAUUUCUGGGUGGAACUGAUGGACUACAUUUUCCAAAUCUCGCAGAGAGCAGGAACAAAGAGGAAGGGCAAGGUUUGACCUUUUCGAUGGGAUGGCGGAACGGGUAGGACAAGGGUAGUUCGACGGUUGUCUUUUGGGGCAUCGGCCCUUGCCUCGCCGAGGGGAGGGUGAGCAGAGGCGGACGAGGAGGACCUACGCGUUAUUGAGCGGCCAUUUCCCACAAAGCGCAGACGAGGGCAACCACCCCGACGAAGCGCGCGGAGUCCUCUCUCUCUCUGCCCCUCCACCCUUUCACCAUUCCGGCUGCUCUACUCUCCGCCCUCCGCCCUCGUCCUUUCGUCCCUUUGCGCCGCUGCUCUCCCUUCGGUCUACUGCCAGCGAGAGAACCUUUCCGUGCGAGACACGGAUAAUGCACCGCCUGCAUCCUCGGAAGUGGCGGAUUUCUUAACCCUAAUAGAACAUAGGCAACGGAAUGAAGAUCUCGUGAGAAUUCCGAUAAUGAAUGCCGCAUUUCCAGAUAAACAGUGCAAAUAGGACGGAAAAUAAUGCAUCGUUGCGGAUAAUUAAGAUGAUUGAAUCGCCGAUGCUCUCUGUGCCAUCCGAUACAACGUCAAACCGAAACGCCACCAUCAUGCGGUGGGACGAUGCGGUCGCUUUAAUGAUAAGCUGAGGAGGCAGUAAUGUACAAUGCUUGUUCAAAGUCAACAGUGAUCCUCUUAGGAUUAACAUUUACAUGAAUGAUCUACAAGCCAAGCAAGCUGCUUUCAGUUUCGACCAGACCGAACAACUUUUCUAACAUUCUAGUUCGCGUGCAUCGGAAUGAGCGGAGAAGAAAAGAGGGAGAUAGUAGAGAAGGCUUGUGGAACUGUGCGCGUUUGCGAUCAGGAGACAGAGAAAGCGAGUGACACGAGAAGAGACAUCGGUCAAAACCGACUUGGCCUGCUUUCUUGCAUGUCUCAGCGAAUGAGAACGAGCGUAUCCAGGUAAGCGACGAGACGGACGAGGCUUGAUGACUAAGGCGGCGGCGGUGGCGGCUCUGGGCGUCCUCGACGAAGAUGGGCCCUCACGAGUGGCGAACGACCGCAUUGUGACGUAUCACGCAUGGUGCAUCGCUUAACAGGAUCGCGAUUCUAUAAGAGAAAGAAGGAUCGUCUAGUAUAUCGAUGUAUACAGGGUACUUUACAAGGUAACCGAUAAAUUUUUUUACAGUCUA